rnacentral:rRNA from 1 species
AUGGCAUCUGUAGAGGAGUUGGAGGAUGAGGAGGAGGAGGAGGAGGUGGAGGACGUCGAGCCUUUAUUGUACGACCGGGCGAAGUGGGUGGCCUGGGCGGUGGAGGAGAAGGAGAGGUCCCGGCGGGAGGAAGAGGAGAAGGCUCGGAAGCGGGAGGAGAACCGGCGGAGAAGCGAGGCACACGAUGCGGUCAUGGACUCCAUCAUCGAGCACGAUCCCAAGGUGGGGCGCGACGUCUACACCCGGUUUUUCCUCAGGGACUUCUCCGUCUUCAACAUCGACGAGGAGUCAUCUGUCCCUCCAAUGCGAUACACCGAUAGUAUCUACCAAGAUGAAUUUGGGCUAGAAGACUCUGCAAACAUCCUCUCUGUCAGCAUAGUCUCCUCAGAUGUAGGCUUCCCAGUCGAUGUCUAUGGCCGUGUCAUUGCCAGAGACAGCAUUGACUACAAGUGCAUUUAUCUCUUUCACCGCAAUAGAGAUGAUUGCCAGCGUGUCAACGAGGAUGGAAUGCUGAUUUUAACUGGCCCAUAUCGAGGUCUAGUGCUGGUUGAUUUCAUCUAUCUAGAGAUAGAUCUUAAAAUCAGGGAAGAAGGAGUUCCAGAAAGGCCAUUUAGCAAGGGUCUAAUAAGUAUUGAUGGCCGAGUACUGUCUAGAGAGAAAGAUGUCAUGGUUAGAAGUGAAACCCUUGAGAGCUGGCUCAGCACUACAGAAGUGAGAUUCACAACUGUCCUGAACGCAGUCGAGUGCACCUUUGAAAUCAAGCUCACUGAGGGGCUUUUUAAAGGAAAUAUAACAGUUGGCAUCGCGGAUAAAGCUCGCAAGCUGGACAAUGAACACACGAUUGUGAUUCAUGACAGCACAGCAGAUGGCGUGGUUACAAGUGAUGAAAGUGGAGUUAUCAAACUCCGGCGAAGUGUCAUUACUAUCUGUCUGGAAAGAAAUGUGAUGUUUCGCAUAAAUAAUGAGGCUGCUGGUGUUUGUGUUGAACGAACCUUUGGUUUCACUCCACGCCGCACUGGUGUAGAUGAAGAGAAAAUUACAUGUGGUGCUGGGAAGUUCGGAUUCAGGAUUGUCUGGUCCUUGAUGGACUUUAGGCUGUAA